rnacentral:piRNA from 1 species
UCACAGAAUUAAGGAUGCCAAACCAUUGA